GAUAUGUUCUUGAAACUCAAAGAAUUUGGCGGUGUUUUAGUCCUUUCAGAGGAACCUGUCCCGUGAUCGAUAGUCCACGUUUUACCUAACUUAAUUUAGCUUUCAGCUUGUAUACCGCCGUCGUCAGAAUGUCCUUAGAGGGAAUAAAUUUUCUUAAUUUUUAAUUAAAUUUAAUGUCAGGUCAAGGUGCAGUUUAUAAUUAAGUGGAGAUGGGUUACAAUAAAUUUAUUUAUACGGAUAUUAAAUGGAAGUAUUUAUUUGAAGGUGGAUUUGAUUGUAUAAUUAUUUAAUUAAAAUAAUUUGAUUUUGGCUCUAAAACAUGCACACAUCGCCCGUCGCUCUUA
rnacentral:rRNA from 1 species